rnacentral:rRNA from 1 species
GAUGAACGCUGGCGGCGUGCCUAAUACAUGCAAGUCGAGCGAACAGACGAGGAGCUUGCUCCUCUGACGUUAGCGGCGGACGGGUGAGUAACACGUGGAUAACCUACCUAUAAGACUGGGAUAACUUCGGGAAACCGGAGCUAAUACCGGAUAAUAUAUUGAACCGCAUGGUUCAAUAGUGAAAGACGGUUUUGCUGUCACUUAUAGAUGGAUCCGCGCCGCAUUAGCUAGUUGGUAAGGUAACGGCUUAGCAAGGCAACGAUGCGUAGGCGACGUGAGAGGGUGGUCGGCCACAUGGGAACGGAGACACGGUCCAGACUCCUACGGGAGGCAGCAGUAGGGAAUGUUCCGCAAUGGGGGAAAGCUUGACGCAGCAACGCCGCGUGAGUGAUGAAGGUCUUCGGAUCGUAAAACUCUGUUAUUAGGGAAGAACAAAUGUGUAAGUAACUAUGCAGGUCGUGACGGUACCUAAUCAGAAAGCAACGGCUAACUACGUG